rnacentral:rRNA from 1 species
UACGUAGGGUGCAAGCGUUAAUCGGAAUUACUGGGCGUAAAGCGUGCGCAGGCGGUUGUGCAAGACAGAUGUGAAAUCCCCGGGCUCAACCUGGGAAUUGCAUUUGUGACUGUACGGCUAGAGUGUGUCAGAGGGGGGUAGAAUUCCACGUGUAGCAGUGAAAUGCGUAGAGAUGUGGAGGAAUACCGAUGGCGAAGGCAGCCCCCUGGGAUAACACUGACGCUCAUGCACGAAAGCGUGGAGAGCAAACAGG